rnacentral:rRNA from 1 species
GACCAGACUCCUACGGGAGGCAGCAGUGGGGAAUAUUGCACAAUGGGGGAAACCCUGAUGCAGCGACGCCGCGUGAGUGAAGAAGUAUUUCGGUAUGUAAAGCUCUAUCAGCAGGGAAGAAGUUGACGGUACCUGAGUAAGAAGCCCCGGCUAACUACGUGCCAGCAGCCGCGGUAAUACGUAGGGGGCAAGCGUUAUCCGGAUUUACUGGGUGUAAAGGGAGCGUAGACGGCAGUGCAAGUCUGAAGUGAAAGCCCCGGGCUUAACCCGGGAACUGCUUUGGAAACUGUACGGCUGGAGUGCUGGAGAGGUAAGCGGAAUUCCUAGUGUAGCGGUGAAAUGCGUAGAUAUUAGGAGGAACACCAGUGGCGAAGGCGGCUUACUGGACAGUAACUGACGUUGAGGCUCGAAAGCGUGGGGAGCAAACAGGAUUAGAUACCCCAGUA